AGAGUUUGAUCAUGGCUCAGAGUGAACGCUGGCGGCGUGCCUAACACAUGCAAGUCGAGCGGAGUAUUAUUUGUAGCAAUACAGAUGAUACUCAGCGGCAGACGGGUGAGUAACACGUAGAUAACUUACCUCUUAGAGGGGGAUAGCCCGCCGAAAGGCGGGGUAAUACCGCGUAAGAUAAUUUUGUGGCAUCACAGAAUUAUGAAACGUCCGCAAGGACGGCUAAGAGAAAGAUCUGCGGCCUAUCAGCUAGUUGGCGGGGUAACGGCCCACCAAGGCAACGACGGGUAUCCGACCUGAAAGGGUGACCGGACACACUGACACUGAGACACGGGUCAGACUCCUACGGGAGGCAGCAGUGAGGAAUUUUGGACAAUGGGGGAAACCCUGAUCCAGCGACGCCGCGUGAAGGAUGAAGGUCUUCGGAUUGUAAACUUCUUUUAUUUGGGACUAAGAAACCCAUGGAAACAUGGGGAGUGAAUGUACCAAGUGAAUAAGCCACGGCUAACUUCGUGCCAGCAGCCGCGGUAAUACGAAGGUGGCAAGCGUUACUCGGAAUUACUAGGCGUAAAGGGCAGGUAGGUGGUUUGGUAAGUCUAUUGUGAAAGCUCCUGGCUUAACUGGGAGAGGCCAAUGGAUACUGCCGGACUUGAGUAUGGGAGAGGUUACUGGAAUUCCUGGUGUAGCGGUGAAAUGCGCAGAUAUCAGGAGGAACACCAAUGGCGAAAGCAGGUAACUGGACCAUUACUGACACUCAGCUGCGAAAGCUAGGGGAGCAAACAGGAUUAGAUACCCUAGUAGUCC
rnacentral:rRNA from 1 species